GCAGCAGCAGCCCCGAGCCGCUCCCCGGAAGGGUCCCCCGGGGCCCAGGCGCGGUUCAGUCCAGCUGCACCCGCAGGAUCAAUACAGUAUCUAGGACUCGGAAAGCCAGCUGGGAAUGAUGUCAUCGUCAGCCCCCGCAGGCCCAAAAAUAGAGUGGCCUGGAGGCUGGAUUUUCCCUCCUGGCCGGAGCCCCCAAGCGUGGACACUCCCUGCCUGGGGGAGGAGAUGGGCCCAGCCUGAAGUCCCCUGGGAAAAGGCUGAAAGCCUGGCCGGCCACCCCAACUUCAGGGUCUAGUCAAACUCCCGAAAGCUGCAGCACUGCUGGGCUGGGGGAAGGUGGAGGGGACUGCACCCUCUGUCUCAGCCCCAGCUCCAGCCUGAAGGGCUGGGGCACACCUGACCUUCGCUGCCCUUUGCCCUGCCUGGGGAAGAGACCUCCACUCUGCGUGUUCCGCCCCAAGAGCAGGACACACGCCGCCCCCACCCUCCCUCCGCCAUCUGGUUUGGAUAAACCUUACUGGCCCGCCUAUAAUCAAGGCUAUAAAUUUUUUUUUUAGCGUGAA